rnacentral:rRNA from 1 species
CAGCAGUAGCCGCGGUAAUACGUAGGGUGCAAGCGUUAUCCGGAAUUAUUGGGCGUAAAGAGCUCGUAGGCGGUUUGUCGCGUCUGCUGUGAAAACUGGAGGCUCAACCUCCAGCCUGCAGUGGGUACGGGCAGACUAGAGUGCGGUAGGGGAGAUUGGAAUUCCUGGUGUAGCGGUGGAAUGCGCAGAUAUCAGGAGGAACACCGAUGGCGAAGGCAGAUCUCUGGGCCGUAACUGACGCUGAGGAGCGAAAGCGUGGGGAGCGAACAGGAUUAGAUACCCCGGUAGUCCCUGUCUCUUAUAC